rnacentral:rRNA from 1 species
ACUCAAAUGAAUUGACGGGGGCCCGCACAAGCAGCGGAGCGUGUGGUUUAAUUCGAUGCAACACGAAGAACCUUACCAAGGCUUGACAUGUUGGAAGUAGCGAACCGAAAGGGGAGCAAACUGUUAAGUCAGUAGCCUUCACAGGUGCUGCAUGGCUGUCGUCAGCUCGUGCCGUGAGGUGUUGGGUUAAGUCCCCCAACGAGCGUAACCCCUAUUGCCAGUUAUUUUCUCUGGCGAGACUGCCUCGCAAAACGGGGAGGAAGGUGGGGAUGACGUCAAGUCAGCACGGCCCUUAUGCCUUGGGCUACACACACGCUACAAUGGACGGUACAAUGGGUUGCAAUGGAGCGAUUCGGAGCUAAUCCUGAAAGCCGUUCUCAGUUCGGAUUGCAGGCUGAAACCCGCCUGCAUGAAGUCGGAGUUGCUAGUAACCGCGAGUCAGCAAAUUGCGGUGAAUACGUUCUCGGGCCUUGUACACACCGCCCGU